UCUCCUCCUCCUCCCCCUCCUCCUCUUCCUUCCCCUCCCCUUCCUCUUCCUUUUCUUCCUCUUCCUCCCCCUCCCCCCUGCUUCUUCUCCCCCUCCUCUACCCUCUCCUCCUUCUCCUUCUUCUCCUUCUCCUUCGAGUUUUGCAUCUCAUUUGAUUAUAGAGUCAAACACAAAGCCCAGCCAGGCAUGUUUAGAAGGAGUAGGAUCCUUGAUGAUGCCACUGAGCUCUUCUGCACCUGCCUGCCUCCAGGCUUCUGGUUAUAAGAGAUAACUAGAUGCUGCUAAUGCUGAAGUCACUGUUACUUGCCUCCAUUUGCAUAUGUAAAUUGGUGCAUCUCUACAGAUGUAACUUUGUAAUAUAUUUCUAUUUGAAUGUACCUACCCUUUGACUCAAUUCUUCCAUGGAAUUAUCAGAAUCUGGCCCACAGAUAAACUCACACACAGCAAUAUAGGGAUAAAGGAUAGAACAUGAAUAUCCAUGGAAAGACACAGCAGAAUUUGGUAACAACAGUUACUACUAGGAAAAGAGAGAGGACUGCGAAGAGACUGAGUUUGCCUGUCCCUUUGUCUCCUUUGAAUAAAAAAAAUAAACAACCUCUGCAUCUGGCCUGGGGCUCAAACUCAGAACCUAGAGAUCAAGAGUCACAUGCUCCACUGACCAAGCAGGCAGAUGCCCUGUAAUUGGACUUUUUCUAGUUCACAAAAUAGAAUUAUCUUCCUGCAUCAUUAAAUAUUA